AUGGUGAUGGUUGAUGAUGACGAAGGACUCCUAAACAUUUCAUCAAUCCUUUCUACCUUCAUUGUCCUCUUCCUCGUGAGCAUCUUCUACAGUGCCAUUGUGACUGUCAUCAAGCUGACUAGCAGGCCUGCUCUCCCAGUGCCAGCCGGACCGAUGAACCAGUCCGUUCACGAACUGGCACUGGACUGUGAAAAGUUUGUUGUCUAUGAACCCCCACCAACAUCCACAGCCCCAUCUGUGUUCCCAUUAUCCCCAUGCUGCCAAGACCCCACCUCAAUUAAGACCGUGGGCUGCUUGAUAACGGGUUACUUCCCUGAACCAGCCACAGUGCAAUGGAAUUCAGGAGCUAUCACCUCCGGCAUUCAGAACUUCCCUGCAGUACGGCAAUCAUCCAGUGGCACCUACACCUUCACUAGCCAGCUCACCGUCCCAGCCUCCAGCUUGCAGUCCCAGACUUUCCAAUGCAAUGUUGAACACGCGGCUACCAGCACCAGAAUCAACAAACAGAUCGAAGCCUGCUCGCAAGAGACCCCGGACGUCCGCCUCCUCCAUUCCUCCUGCAACCGCAACUCAGACGAUGCCACUAUUCAGCUUGUGUGCCUUAUCUCGGGCUUCUACCCUAGCACGGUCACAGUGAAUUGGCUGGUAGAUGGGCAAUCCGGGGUGUUGCCUGCACACACUGAGGCCCCCAAGAAAGACGCCAGCGGGGACACCUUCAGCACCACCAGCACAGCCAAUAUUACCCAACUAGAAUGGAAAGAGGGGAAGACAUACACCUGCCAGGUGAUCCACCAAGGUUCCACAGUGGAAAGAAAUGCCACAAAAUGCAGAGGCUGUGGCAAUGCAGUCCAUGUGGAGACCAUCCCGCCAUCCUUCGCUGAUAUUUUCCUGACCAAGUCGGCCAAGUUGACCUGCAGAAUCUCCAAUAUACCCGAUGAGCAGGACCUUGAAGAACUGAACGUCACCUGGAUAAGAGCAUCUGACAACAAAGAACUGGAGACCGUCAUUGGGCAGCCUAAGCAGCAAGAAAACAGUGAGCUCUUAUUUGUGGAAGCAACAGCCACCGUUUGCAAAGAAGAGUGGGACAGCGGGGAUACCUUCAAGUGCAAAGUGACUCUUCCCCUUCUCCCCACAGCUGUCAUAAAAACACUGAAAAAGGUUCAUGGCGGCACUCCCAGAGCUCCCGCUGUCUACGUCCUCCCCCCUCCCCCGGAGCAACUGGCAUUGCAGGAAACAGCCACCCUCACUUGCCUGUUGAAAGGUUUCUACCCCGAUGAAUUCUUUGUGAAAUGGCUCCGGAAUGACGAGCCCGUGGGAGAUUCAGAGUUCUUCACCAGCCGUCCCAUACAGGAAUCCAAGACCCCUGAGCGGUACUUCACCUCCAGCACAAUUAAUGUCAUUGAGCAAGACUGGAACUCUGGAGACCAUUACACUUGCGUGGUGGGACACGAGGCGCUUCCCCUCCAGACGACUCAGAAGACCGUAGACAAGAACACGGGUAAACCCACCCUUGUCAACGUCUCCCUGGUACUCUCCGACACCACCACCACUUGCCACUAACCAUUGUUGCUAUUUUUCCUCCAUCCCCUGGUUUCGUCAUCUUUUUCUCCCUUCAUUACAUCUCGCCUGAUUAGCUGUUCAUUAGUGCAAA